rnacentral:lncRNA from 1 species
GAUUUUGCGAAAAAUUCCCUAUGGUUUCGAUUUAAUUCUGGUUUGGUCUCGAAGUAUGUUUUGGGCUUUGGAGGCCCAUCUAAAGGACGCCAUGACAUGUUUUAGUAAAUGAAUAGUAUUUAACUCGUAUUAAUGGAAAAUUAAUUUGGUAAACUCCGGUAAUACCUCCUACCCUAUUCCGGCGACGAAUACGGGUAAGGGGUGUUACAU